GACGAACGCUGGCGGCGUGCUUAACACAUGCAAGUCGAACGGAAAGGCCCUGCUUUUGUGGGGUGCUCGAGUGGCGAACGGGUGAGUAACACGUGAGUAACCUGCCCUUGACUUUGGGAUAACUUCAGGAAACUGGGGCUAAUACCGGAUAGGAGCUCCUGCUGCAUGGUGGGGGUUGGAAAGUUUCGGCGGUUGGGGAUGGACUCGCGGCUUAUCAGCUUGUUGGUGGGGUAGUGGCUUACCAAGGCUUUGACGGGUAGCCGGCCUGAGAGGGUGACCGGCCACAUUGGGACUGAGAUACGGCCCAGACUCCUACGGGAGGCAGCAGUGGGGAAUAUUGCACAAUGGGCGGAAGCCUGAUGCAGCAGCGCCGCGUGCGGGAUGACGGCCUUCGGGUUGUAAACCGCUUGCGCCUGUGACGAAGCGUGAGUGACGGUAAUGGGUAAAGAAGCACCGGCUAACUACGUG
rnacentral:rRNA from 1 species